GAGUUUGAUCCUGGCUCAGAUUGAACGCUAGCGGCAGGCCUAAUACAUGCAAGUCGAGGGGCAGCAGGGAUAGCAAUAUUCGCUGGCGACCGGCGCACGGGUGCGUAACACGUAUACAAUCUGCCUUUAACAGGGGGAUAGCCCGGAGAAAUCCGGAUUAAUACCCCAUAACAGAUCGAAUGGCAUCAUUUGAUUUUGAAAGCUCCGGCGGUUAAAGAUGAGUAUGCGUCUGAUUAGCUAGUUGGUGAGGUAACGGCUCACCAAGGCGACGAUCAGUAGGGGAUCUGAGAGGAUUAACCCCCACACGGAUACUGAGACACGGAUCCGACUCCUACGGGAGGCAGCAGUAAGGAAUAUUGGACAAUGCCCGCAAGGGUGAUCCAGCCAUGCCGCGUGCAGGAAGACGGCCCUAUGGGUUGUAAACUGCUUUUACACCGGAGAAAACCUU
rnacentral:rRNA from 1 species